rnacentral:sRNA from 1 species
AUACUGAUCAUUAGGUUGCCGCGUUGGAGCCAUGCAUUGAGUAACAAUGCCAAAUUCAGUUAAGUUUUUUUUCUUCCAUGGACCUGAUGAAGGAUUCAAAGUAUUUAUCCAAGGAAACUUCUAUUAUAUAAAACAAAAAGAUGAUUGAAGACUGGAU